AUUGGCGGACCUUAGAGGCUCCGGGUUAACGGGCAGAUAGAUCGUCCUUUGGGAGGAGCUCUGGCUGUCUCGUGACGCAGCGUGGCAAGAUUUCCUUCAAGAAACAAAGGCUCCACUGGCUACUAACAAAAUAACCGUCCUUCCUCAGCCUGCUUUUCUCUGUCAAUAUUGCCUCUGUCCAAAUCUGGAUAGACUCCAAACCUACGACUUGUGCUAACAACCUCAAGAGAUGGUGAGAAACGGGCUUUUUUUCUAUAAAAAGUGGCUAACAUACAAAGGGCCAAUACUCUAAAAAUCUCCACCUUGUAAAGUUUCUAUUCAAGUAUUUUAAUCACCUGGAAAACUUGUUUAUACAAAGGCCUUUCAUUCUGAUGACAAGAGCCUCUGACCCCUUCCCUCCUUCCUUUGCAUCUAUAGGGAGCUAUCCAACCAUGGCAGAUUCUGAGGUGGAGCUCUCUCCAAUAGGACGAGACACAGUCAUCACCUAUGUUAGAAUAACAACUGAACUUCCUGCCCUAGUGUGCUUGCAAGGUCAGUUGGCUUAUGGCACACAUUUUUUAUUAAAAAAAAAAAAAAAAAAAAAA
rnacentral:sRNA from 1 species